CGAUGAUUCGUCACAAUCAGGAAUGAAAGCCAAAAGAAUAAGAAACUUUGUACUUUGUAGACCUUGGUACGGGCAAUGAACAGUAUGAAGUGUUGCAUCGUUGUCUUGAAACACCACAUGCUCUUAUCCCACCAGUAUAUAUACCGUAGUUAACGAGUCUCCUGCCACACGAUCUCGCAUCACCUUCCUCUAGAACUCAGAAGAGGACUGCAGGUGUCACACCAGUGGGAAUCGUUCAAGUGUUUGAGAAGGAAGUUCUGCAAACAGGCGACUUCCAGUAUGGCUUUGAGAGCCGGUCAGGAGGCAAAUUCUUCGUCGGACUCAAUCAACGUCCCAUCAUGCUUGCAACGGUUCAUGAAGGAUAUUGUCCCGCAUGCAUUGGAUGUUCCACGUUCUCCUGGUGGGGGGGAGAGCGUACCGCGUCCUAACCAUCUCUCCGGUGAACCCGACCCUCACGUUUGCAAGGAGUUUCCUUGCAAGAUAUGUAAUCGACCUCACUAGACAGGGAAAUUUCACCUACAUGUGUUGGAAGCGGAUUGCAAAUAUUUCAUGAAUUGAUUGCAGCAACUUCUUCCACACGAUAGCAAUGCUGCAAUGACUAAACUGGCAAUAAGAGAUCCUACUUUCUCAUGUAUGGUUGUCUUCUUCCAAAACGUGAGGUAUCUUACAUAUUAAUAAAAAAUAACCCUUUCAAUUUGAA